GCUCUGCAUGUGGACAGCUCAGGCAGUAGAGCACGAGACUCUUAAUCUCAGGGUUGUGGGUUCAAGCCCCAUGUUGGGCG